rnacentral:rRNA from 1 species
AGCAGCCGCGGUAAUUCCAGCUCCAAUAGCGUAUAUUAAAGUUGUUGCAGUUAAAAAGCUCGUAGUUGAAUUUCGGGAUCAAUACGUCGGUCGUGCCUCUGGUAUGUACUGGUGUUAUUGAUUUCUCCUUUCUGAUGAAUCAUGAUGUCAUUAAUUUGGUGUUGUGUGGAGUCAGGACUGUUACUUUGAAAAAAUUAGAGUGUUUAAAGCAGGCUCACGCCUGAAUACAUUAGCAUGGAAUAAUGAAAUAGGACGUUCGAUCCUAUUUUGUUGGUUUCUAGGAUCAACGUAAUGAUUAAUAGGGAUAGUUGGGGGCAUUAGUAUUCAAUUGUCAGAGGUGAAAUUCUUGGAUUUAUUGAAGACUAACUACUGCGAAAGCAUUUGCCAAGGAUAGUUUUCAUUAAUCAAGAACGAAAGUUAGGGGAUCGAAGACGAUCAGAUACCGUCGUA